rnacentral:rRNA from 2 species
UGGGCGAAAGCCUGAUCCAGCAAUGCCGCGUGAGUGAUGAAGGCCUUAGGGUUGUAAAGCUCUUUUACCCGGGAAGAUAAUGACUGUACCGGGAGAAUAAGCCCCGGCUAACUCCGUGCCAGCACCGCGGUAAUAAGGGCG